GACGAACGCUGGCGGCGUGCUUAACACAUGCAAGUCGAACGGAAAGGCCCUGCUUGCAGGGUACUCGAGUGGCGAACGGGUGAGUAACACGUGGGUGAUCUGCCCUGCACUUCGGGAUAAGCCUGGGAAACUGGGUCUAAUACCGGAUAGGAGCCAUUUUUAGUGUGAUGGUUGGAAAGUUUUUUCGGUGUAGGAUGAGCUCGCGGCCUAUCAGCUUGUUGGUGGGGUAAUGGCCUACCAAGGCGGCGACGGGUAGCCGGCCUGAGAGGGUGGACGGCCACAUUGGGACUGAGAUACGGACCAGACUCCUACGGGAGGCAGCAGUGGGGAAUAUUGCACAAUGGGCGCAAGCCUGAUGCAGCGACGCCGCGUGGGGGAUGACGGCCUUCGGGUUGUAAACUCCUUUCGCUAGGGACGAAGCUUUUUGUGACGGUACCUAGAUAAGAAGCACCGGCUAACUACGUG
rnacentral:rRNA from 1 species